rnacentral:rRNA from 1 species
GACGAAGGGGGCUAGCGUUGUUCGGAAUUACUGGGCGUAAAGCGCGUGUAGGCGGUUGUCCAAGUUGGAUGUGAAAGCCUUGAGCUUAACUCAAGAAAUGCAUUCAGGACUGGAUGGCUAGAGGACCGGAGAGGAUAGUGGAAUUCCCAGUGUAGUGGUGAAAUACGUAGAGAUUGGGAAGAACACCAGUGGCGAAGGCGGCUAUCUGGACGGUUUCUGACGCUGAGACGCGAAAGCGUGGGGAGCGAACAGG